rnacentral:rRNA from 1 species
CGUAGGGUGCAGGCGUUAAUCGGAAUUACUGGGCGUAAAGCGUGCGCAGGCGGUUUGCUAAGACAGGUGUGAAAUCCCCCGGGCUUAACCUGGGAACUGCGCUUGUAACUGGCAAGCUAGAGUGUGGCAGAGGGGGGUGGAAUUCCACGUGUAGCAGUGAAAUGCGUAGAGAUGUGGAGGAACACCGAUGGCGAAGGCAGCCCCCUGGGCUAACACUGACGCUCAUGCACGAAAGCGUGGGGAGCAAACAGGAUUAGAUACCCUGGUAGUCCACGCCCUAAACUAUGUCAACUGGUUGUCGGGGAAGCAAUUCCUUGGUAACGAAGCUAACGCGUGAAGUUGACCGCCUGGGGAGUACGGCCGCAAGGUUA